GAUGAACGCUGGCGGCGUGCCUAAUACAUGCAAGUCGAGCGAACAGACGAGGAGCUUGCUCCUCUGACGUUAGCGGCGGACGGGUGAGUAACACGUGGAUAACCUACCUAUAAGACUGGGAUAACUUCGGGAAACCGGAGCUAAUACCGGAUAAUAUAUUGAACCGCAUGGUUCAAUAGUGAAAGACGGUUUUGCUGUCACUUAUAGAUGGAUCCGCGCCGCAUUAGCUAGUUGGUAAGGUAACGGCUUACCAAGGCAACGAUGCGUAGCCGACCUGAGAGGGGGAUCGGCCACACGGGAAGUGAGACACGGUCCAGACUCCGAAGGGAGGCAGCAGGAGGGAAUCGUCGGCAAUGGGCGAAAGCUUGACGGAGCAACGCCGCGUGAGUGAUGAAGGUAUUCGGAUCGUAAAACUCUGUUAUUAGGGAAGAACAAAUGUGUAAGUAACUAGGAACGUCUUGACGGUACCUAAUCAGAAAGCCACGGCUAACUACGUG
rnacentral:rRNA from 1 species